CCGGCGCUCGCGGCGCUCGUCACCAGUCGCCCUGGGGUCGCCGGGGCCGCGCGGUGGCUUCCCCUUCGCUCGCCCUCCCCCUCCCCGGCUGGGAAGCUCCGGCCGUGCCGUGUUCCUCGGCCUUCCUGUGUCCCAUGGGCCGCUCAGGAUGGACAGCAGGACCGUUCCCCUGCGGUAGAGCCGAGCCCCAACGGGGAGGAACAGCGGCGGCGCCGUGGGUGGGCGGUGGGGCUCACGGCGGAGGCCCGGAUUUAAAAACCUGCACAAGUGAACAUGGACAUACAAUUAGGAAGGCCGUUCUGCCAUCUUCUUUCAGAGUUGGCAAGAAGCUUCAGCAUUCAGGUCUAGCGGAAAAUUCUACUCAAGCAUUAUAG
rnacentral:lncRNA from 1 species